UACGUAGGGGGCAAGCGCUGUCCGGAUUUAUUGGGCGUAAAGCGUCCGCAGGCGGUCAACCAAGUUCGUGGUGACAGUCUCCAGCUCAACUGGAGAAGGCCCAUGAAGACUGGUUGACUUGAGGGCUUCAGAGGGACAUGGAAUUCCGGGUGGAGUGGUGAAAUGCGUAGAUAUCAGGAGGAAUACCGAUGGCGAAGGCAGGUCUCUGGGCUGA
rnacentral:rRNA from 1 species